rnacentral:rRNA from 1 species
CAACGCCGCGUGAGUGAGGAAGGCCUUCGGGUCGUAAAGCUCUGUUGUUAGGGAAGAACAAGUACCGUUCGAACAGGGCGGUACCUUGACGGUACCUAACCAGAAAGCCACGGCUAACUACGUGCCAGCAGCCGCGGUAAUACGUAGGUGGCAAGCGUUGUCCGGAAUUAUUGGGCGUAAAGCGCGCGCAGGCGGUCUCUUAAGUCUGAUGUGAAAGCCCACGGCUCAACCGUGGAGGGUCAUUGGAAACUGGGGGACUUGAGUACUGGAGAGGAGAGUGGAAUUCCAUGUGUAGCGGUGAAAUGCGUAGAUAUAUGGAGGAACACCAGUGGCGAAGGCGGCUCUCUGGCCAGUAACUGACGCUGAGGCGCGAAAGCGUGGGGAGCAAACAGGAUUAGAUACCCUGGUAGUCCACGCCGUAAACGAUGAGUGCUAGGUGUUGGGGGGUUCCACCCUCAGUGCUGACGUUAACACAUUAAGCACUCCGCCUGGGGAGUACGACCGCAAGGUUG